rnacentral:rRNA from 1 species
CAGUAGCCACGGUAAUACGGAGGGCGCGAGCGUUACCCGGAUUUACUGGGCGUAAAGGGCGUGUAGGCGGCCUGGGGCGUCCCAUGUGAAAGGCCACGGCUCAACCGUGGAGGAGCGUGGGAUACGCUCAGGCUAGAGGGUGGGAGAGGGUGGUGGAAUUCCCGGAGUAGCGGUGAAAUGCGCAGAUACCGGGAGGAACGCCGAUGGCGAAGGCAGCCACCUGGUCCACUUCUGACGCUGAGGCGCGAAAGCGUGGGGAGCAAACCGGAUUAGAUACCCCGGUAGUCCCUGUCUCUUAUAA